AACUAGCCAGGGUGGUGGUCUCACUUGCCAGUAGUGAAUGCAAUCACAAUAUAAUGUCUAUAAACUCGAUCUAAAGUGCACGCGACGCCGGCUAUGGAGCUCAUACUUGUUGUGUGCUAUGUGUACUGCAUGUGUAGCUUUUGUUACACAUUCUAUUUCAAUUUCCUUGUGUUUGUUGUUUGAGAUCCACUUUAUUUUGCUUUGUCUUCUCUCCUUUCUUGCUUGUAUUUUCUAUAUAUGAUAUGGCUUGGAUUGUAUUUUUCAACUUUAACCGAUGGUUAAUAAAAUUCUCAAAGUCUUGCCUCAAUUGGUUUGUUGUGUUAUUUCUCUUUUUGAACUAUAACUAUAUUAUCUAUAGCUUGGACUUCACUUUCCCAAAAUACAGGAGACAACGCACAUAAUAUUUCUUUGGAAAAAUGGAAACUAAUUUUAUAAUCCCACUUUUGCUAUUUCUUCUCAAAGCAAUCCCACCUUUUCAAAAUCUGGAAAUAUAUAAUCCCAUCACUAGUAGAAAAAAUGAAAUAGGCACCCCCCCCCCUAGCACCGGUUCUUUAUAACCGGUGCCAAAAAAUAAUGGGCGGGAUUGAAAAUUCGGUUUUGGCACCGGUUCGCCUUAAACCGGUGCCAACUAUGGUAAUUAGCACCAGUUCAAAUUGGUGCCAAUUAAAAAAGGAAAAAAAAAAUCGAGGUAUGCGUUACUCUGCUUCUUCAUUCUCUUUCCUGUUCUUUUUCCAUUUCCAUUCUCUCUCUUCUCUCUCUUCAUAUGCUCUCCUCUCUCACCUCAACCAUACCUUCAGCCGCAACCGCAACCACCAUGCACCGCUCACAGAUUCUCUCUCCCCUUUUCUUUUCGUGCUCUCUCCUCUAGCCUCCUUUUACCCUAUCAAUCGUUUUCUAGGGUUUAUCGCCCUUGUUAUACCUCUAAAUCUCAAUCUCAUAUCCAAUCACCUCUCUCUAAUUUCUAGGGUUUCGAAUUACACUAAUGUUGCAAUAAUUGGAGGCUGGAGUUGGUGGUGAUUAAAUUGAUGUUGUUGAACACAAAGAGGCAAACUAAUAUCAGCAGGCUACACUUCUUCUUUCUCGAGGUUUCUUCAUCUUGCUCGAUCUUUCACUCUAUGUUACUCUCCUAAUUAAAGUACUUAUCGAUUUUUUAAUUUCUGUAAUUUCGAUCAACUUCUGUCGUUUUUUAAGAUAUUAGGGUUUAUUACUCUUAUCUGGGUUUUCAUUUCAUUUUUUAUCGGCCAAUUUCUGAAGCAUGCAUAUCAUUUUAUUUGUUAUUCAUAUCAUUUUUGAUAAUCUUGAAGCUGAUUGAUGGAAAUGAUUGAUCUGGGUGUUUGUAAUUCUUGUUAAUUUUGUGUUUUUCUAGUGUUACUUUGAUAAUUAUGAAGAUCUGUCGUGAUCAUUUUUGUGGGUUUUUUUUUAUUGAAUUAGUUUUGUGACCGAUUUGAAUUAGAGAUCUAUUCAAUUAGUUAUUUUAUUUAAGUUCAUUGAUUACUGGGGCUCUUUGUUUGUGCUUAUGAAUUAGAGAAUUACUAAAUUAAUUUUGUGGGGUUGUUGAAUUUGAUAAUUUACUGAUAAAUUUAGGUGUAUUAAUUUGAUGCUUUAUCAGGUUAAAGUUAGAAUUUAAUUUGCUGAAAUUAUUACAGUUGAGGCAGUGUUUUUAUGCUUAUUGUGUUACCUUGAAUUUACAGAUUAAAAGUUGUUGCUGCAUUUUAGUUAGAUUUGUAGAUUUGAGGGAUUGAAGUGGGUUAUCAAAGAGGUUGAGCAUUGGAUGAAUGGGUUGGAAGAUACAUAUUGAUGAACUGCCCAGGUGUAAAGAUCUGGGCUGAAGUUUCCUUUGUUUUCGUGUUCGUUUUUCUGCUGCAUUUUGCCUAUGGGUCAACAAAUCCCAGUGAUGGAUGGAAAGAUUCGUGAUGUGCUUUUUGAAAUUCUUGAGAAUGAAGACGAUGUUGUUAAAAAGCAUGGUGCACAGUCUAGAGAGAGUUGACGUGCAGCUACACAAGGAAUGCACACAUCAAGAUUCUGCUUGCAUCCUGCUGGCAAUACUCCAUCCGCUUGUCGUCUCUUUGAUGCCAUUCAGGAGAUGAAGAAGGUAUUUAACAGAUACCCAGCCAGCCUGAACAGGACAGAGGCACAGCAGCACAGCAAACAGCAGAGCAGCAGGUCAGCCUGAACAUACAACAACACAUCAGCCAGCAGAGCAGCCACCAGCACAAGACAGCCUGAACGGAAGCAAAACCAAUCACCCAGCCAGCUUGAACAGAGCAGAAACACAGCCACAGAAGCAGAACAGCCACAACCAUCAGAGCAGAAACAUAGCCACAUCCAUCAGAGCAAAAACACAGAGAUAAAUCUGGAUUAUUUAAUGAGAUGCAAGAAAGGUACUCAGAGAUAAGUCUGGAUUAUUUAAUUUUUUUUGGACGAAAAUUGUAAUAUUACAGCCUUUUUUAAUGAAA